rnacentral:tRNA from 1 species
GAAUGACUAGCGCAGUGGUGCGGACCAUGAGUUCUGGACAGAUAGAUCGUGAGUUCGAGUCCCAUGGCGCUCG